UACGUAGGGCGCAAGCGUUGUCCGGAAUUAUUGGGCGUAAAGCGCGCGUAGGCGGCUUUGCAAGUCGGGUGUGAAAGCCCUCAGCUCACUGAGGAAGGGCGCCCGAAACUGCAGAGCUUGAGUGCCGGAGAGGGUGGCGGAAUUCCCCAAGUAGAGGUGAAAUUCGUAGAUAUGGGGAGGAACACCGGUGGCGAAGGCGGCCACCUGGACGGUAACUGACGCUGAGGCGCGAAAGCGUGGGUAGCAAACAGG
rnacentral:rRNA from 1 species